UGUCUUCUAGACUAGAUGCUGCCUAAUUCAUGAAUUAUUGAAUAAAGCCAGUAAGAUCUGUAAAGUUUACCUAGUUGAAUUCUGUUUGUUUACAGUUUGAUGGCCGUGGUUGAAUCUGAAGGAGACUACCAAUGGCUCUGAGGACAAUGGGGGACACAGACGUCUGUCCCCAUGAACACUUCCACUUCGCUGGCUUCUCAUCACUCCCAAGUGCUGUGUGAGCUCCCCUCAGGCUCCUCACCUGAGCACUCGCAAUCUGCUCAUCUUCCACCUGAGCUGACUUUCCACUCUGAAGAGGCUACAAGACUGAAACCAAAGUCCUCCAAGUCUUGAAUUCCUUAAGAAAACUCAACCUUCUUAAUAUUAAAAGAGCUGAUAACCACCACACAAAUGAUCACCCUGAGACUGGAACACGAGAAAAGGACCGAAGAGCCUGAGCAACAUAAAGAAUGUGGAUCCGCCCUGGUGACCUCCGGAUGCCACGGAGAUGCAGCAAAACACUGUAAGAAUGCCAGAGCCAUCACUGGUGAGGGAGUGGGGAGUGCUGAUACCUUAAAUUUCUAUCACCUCUC